rnacentral:rRNA from 1 species
ACGUACAAACCUUAUCGAUAAACAAUUGGAGGGCAAGUCUGGUGCCAGCAGCCGCGGUAAUUCCAGCUCCAAUAGCGUAUAUUAACGUUGUUGCAGUUAAAAAGCUCGUAGUUGAAAUGAAGGGUAGUUGUGUAAUGAAUACAUUCGUGUAUUUUGUUAUUCUACUACCCUCCUUCUAAAUUCGAUAUAUGAGUAUUAAUUUACUUGUAUAUGGUUUUAGACGUUUACUGUGAGAAAAUUAGAGUGUUCAAAGCAGGCAUUUGCUUGAAUAUAUUAGCAUGGAAUAAUCAUGUAUGAUUUUCAUGAUGUAUUUGAUUGGUUUGGUUCAUGAGAAUAAGA